UUAAUCUCAAACUUUGGAGUGUUGUUAUCUCUGAAGCUUUGGAUGUUGGAGGGUUCUGCUGGCAAAAUUUGAUUGUUAGCUCCUCUUAAAUGUAUUAGCAAGGGAAACCAAUUUCAAGGAUGACUUGGCUCUGGUUUGAUAAUAUAUAUCUAUGCCAUUGCUUGAGAAGUCGGAAAGGGGGUUUUCAGCUUAUAAUUUGUCCUUUGGACACUUUUGAA
rnacentral:misc_RNA from 1 species